UUCCGACGGUAUAGUAUGAAAAUUAAAAUAAAUAUCCUGUUUGAUAAUCUUAUAUUCACACUCGAUAAAUUACACAUUAUCGCAAGUUAUCUCUGUGAUAGUCUCAAUAAAUUAUUACGGAUGACAAAUUUAUCGGUGUAUGAAAAUAAAAUCUGGUGAUGAUUUAUUUGUUGGGUGACCUUCUACCGAAACUCCACAAAGGAUAAUAAAAAUUAUAUCUGUUAUUAAACGAUAAACUCUUUUUAUGACGUUUUAAGCAACACUGGAAAUACACGACCUAGAAAUUUGCCAUUUUGAAUAACUAGUUUCAUUUUUUAAUUUAUUUGUCUCACUUCACUUAAUUGUUUAUUGACAACAACUAACUGAAUCCUGACAUUCAAUCAGCUGUUAAUUGACAAUUACCAUUAAUUAACUUCAUUUGAAAACAAAUAAAAUAUCUUCAUUAAAGUGAAACAUAAAGUAAUGAUGAAAAACAAGGAAAUGAAAAUUUUAAUGUUUAGUUACGGUCUCAUUAAAACACUUGUAAACAUUUACCUAACCUAUAAAACGCCGCGGGGCAGCAGUAUUUGCUUAUCUUAUAUCUCAUAAUUAAUCAGCGAAAGAUUCCAAUUUCCAAAAUUAGAUAUGGACAGUUUCAGUGGCAUAUAUACAAGCGAACCUCCAUCCAUUGAAUUCCCGUUUUAUUAAAUUUGACUCUGGGCUUCAGCUCGAGCUUCGUCUAUUGCUAUCGAGAACGAAAAUGUUAGGGGCGACGACAAGAUUCUCACUUACGUUUUAUCACUUGACGCUUUGCUAGUUGAGUUUGUAAUUAUUUAUUUAACUUUUUUUAUUAAAUCAAUUGUUAACGUUUUUAUUAAAAGUAUCAAGAGUAGUUUUGACUAGUUUCAAAGGACAGAGACUGAAAUUUCGUGAGAAUUUCUUUGGCAGAUUUCUUCUCUAAGAGAAGAAAUAAAAUAUUUUCUUUCACAAUCAAAGAAAUACACUCACACCUUAACUCUCAAUACAGACAAACUUUUUUAUCUUUAUUCACCGUGACCCGCAUUCAUUAAUUUUACUCAGCUUCAGUUUAAACAGAAGCGGAUCAUAAUUGUUACCACUAGCUAAAAAAUCAAUCUUACUUUUUUUUACUUUCAGAGACUACGGCGGAAAAUAUUUCUGGUGGGAAUUAUUUUAAUUAUUCAUUUUUAAUAAAAUUAAUUAAAAUUUUAAUAUUGGGGAAAAAAUUUCAUUAUUAAUUUUGAUACUGAAGUUAAUUUUUUAGUUUUUAUAACAAAUU
rnacentral:lncRNA from 1 species